UCCUGACUGACCGAUAGUGAACCAGUACCGUGAGGGAAAGGCGAAAAGAACCCCGGCGAGGGGAGUGAAAAAGAACCUGAAACCGUGUACGUACAAGCAGUGGGAGCACGCUUAGGCGUGUGACUGCGUACCUUUUGUAUAAUGGGUCAGCGACUUAUAUUCUGUAGCAAGGUUAACCGAAUAGGGGAGCCGAAGGGAAACCGAGUCUUAACUGGGCGUUAAGUUGCAGGGUAUAGACCCGAAACCCGGUGAUCUAGCCAUGGGCAGGUUGAAGGUUGGGUAACACUAACUGGAGGACCGAACCGACUAAUGUUGAAAAAUUAGCGGAUGACUUGUGGCUGGGGGUGAAAGGCCAAUCAAACCGGGAGAUAGCUGGUUCUCCCCGAAAGCUAUUUAGGUAGCGCCUCGUGAAUUCAUCUCCGGGGGUAGAGCACUGUUUCGGCAAGGGGGUCAUCCCGACUUACCAACCCGAUGCAAACUGCGAAUACCGGAGAAUGUUAUCACGGGAGACACACGGCGGGUGCUAACGUCCGUCGUGAAGAGGGAAACAACCCAGACCGCCAGCUAAGGUCCCAAAGUCAUGGUUAAGUGGGAAACGAUGUGGGAAGGCCCAGACAGCCAGGAUGUUGGCUUAGAAGCAGCCAUCAUUUAAAGAAAGCGUAAUAGCUCACUGGUCGAGUCGGCCUGCGCGGAAGAUGUAACGGGGCUAAACCAUGCACCGAAGCUGCGGCAGCGACGCUUAUGCGUUGUUGGGUAGGGGAGCGUUCUGUAAGCCUGUGAAGGUG
rnacentral:rRNA from 1 species